UACGUAGGGGGCGAGCGUUAUCCGGAAUACUGGGCGUAAAGCGCACGCAGGCGGUUCGCCAAGUUUGGAGUGACAGUUGUCGGCUCAACCGACAAGGACUUCAAAAACUGGUGAACUUGAGGACGAGAGAGGAACAUGGAACUCCAGGUGUAGUAGUGAAAUGCGUAGAUAUCUGGAAGAACACCAAUGGCGAAGGCAAUGUUCUGGCUC
rnacentral:rRNA from 1 species